rnacentral:rRNA from 1 species
GAUGAACGCUAGCGGCAGGCUUAACACAUGCAAGUCGAGGGGUAACAGGGAGUGCUUGCACUCUGCUGACGACCGGCGCACGGGUGCGUAACGCGUAUGCAACCUACCUUCUACAGGGGGAUAGUCCAGAGAAAUUUGGCAUAAUACCCCAUACGAUCAUUUAUUGGCAUCGAUAGAUGAGGAAAACUCCGGUGGUAGAAGAUGGGCAUGCGUCCUAUUAGUUAGUUGGUAAGGUAACGGCUUACCAAGACAUCGAUAGGUAGGGGUCCUGAGAGGGAGAUCCCCCACACUGGUACUGAGACACGGACCAGACUCCUACGGGAGGCAGCAGUGAGGAAUAUUGGACAAUGGAGGCAACUCUGAUCCAGCCAUGCCGCGUGCAGGAAGACGGCCCUACGGGUUGUAAACUGCUUUUAUACAGGAAGAAACGCCGCUACGUGUAGCGGUUUGACGGUACUGUACGAAUAAGGAUCGGCUAACUCCGUGCCAGCAGCCGCGGUAAUACGGAGGAUCCAAGCGUUAUCCGGAAUCAUUGGGUUUAAAGGGUCCGUAGGCGGUUUUUUAAGUCAGAGGUGAAAUCCUGCAGCUCAACUGUAGCAUUGCCUUUGAUACUGAAAGACUUGAGUUAUUGUGAAGUAGUUAGAAUGUGUAGUGUAGCGGUGAAAUGCAUAGAUAUUACACAGAAUACCGAUUGCGAAGGCAGAUUACUAACAAUAUACUGACGCUGAGGGACGAAAGCGUGGGUAGCGAACAGGAUUAGAUACCCUGGUAGUCCACGCCGUAAACGAUGGAUACUAGCUGUUCGACCAACAUUGGUUGGUUGAGUGGCUAAGCGAAAGUGAUAAGUAUCCCACCUGGGGAGUACGCUCGCAAGAGUGAAACUCAAAGGAAUUGACGGGGGCCCGCACAAGCGGUGGAGCAUGUGGUUUAAUUCGAUGAUACGCGAGGAACCUUACCAGGGCUUAAAUGUAAGUUGCCUAGAUCAGAGAUGGUCUUUUCUUCGGACUACUUACAAGGUGCUGCAUGGUUGUCGUCAGCUCGUGCCGUGAGGUGUCAGGUUAAGUCCUAUAACGAGCGCAACCCCUGUCGUUAGUUGCCAGCAAGUAAAGUUGGGCACUCUAGCGAGACUGCCGGUGCAAACCGCGAGGAAGGUGGGGAUGACAUCAAAUCAUCACGGCCCUUACGUCCUGGGCUACACACCUGCUACAAUGGCCGGUACAGAGAGCAGCCACUCCGCGAGGAGGAGCGAAUCUAUAAAACCGGUCUCAGUUCGGAUCGCAGUCUGCAACUCGACUGCGUGAAGCUGGAAUCGCUAGUAAUCGGAUAUCAGCCAUGAUCCGGUGAAUACGUUCCCGGGCCU